GUGGUUGGAAGGCGAUCUGACCACAUCUGCCACCCUGUUGGUCUCCAGGCUUGGGUCCCCUGAACUGGCUGGUUAGCAGAUCCCCUCCCUCCCCCACUGCUACAGGUGCUUCCUCCUGAGGCUGAGUGCUCAGUCGAAGAAGACAAUCUUCCCCCAAAGAGGGGGAAGGGUAUAUGCUAGAACUGCCAAACAGCUCCCCGACACCCCUCAACAACAGAGGAAUCCAUCUGU
rnacentral:sRNA from 1 species